rnacentral:rRNA from 1 species
UACGUAGGGUGCAAGCGUUGUCCGGAAUUACUGGGCGUAAAGGGCGCGUAGGCGGCCUCCUAAGUCAGACGUGAAAUCCCCCGGCUUAACCUGGGAACUGCGUCUGAUACUGGGAGGCUAGAGUGCGGGAGAGGGAUGCGGAAUUCCAGGUGUAGCGGUGAAAUGCGUAGAUAUCAGGAGGAACACCGAUGGCGAAGGCAGGUCUCUGGGCAUUAACUGACGCUGAGGAGCGAAAGCAUGGGGAGCGAACAGG